GUCAGGGCUGUGGGGUUGUUGACCUGAGGGACUGUGGGGAGGUGUCAGGGCUGUGGGGUUGUUGACCUGAGGGAUGGGCUGUGGGGGGAGAUGUUGGGGCCAUGGGGGAUAUUAGGGAUGUCAGGGUUGCAGGGGUGUUGACAAGUGUCAGGGCAGUGGCUGAGGCACUCUACCGUGAGUGGUAUUGUUGCCCUGCUUUGCCCCAGCCCUGCUGUGUGGUAGUUUGGGGAGCAGGACAGAGCUCACCCCAUUCGGUGAACGGCAUGAGCAGUGAUAUAGGUGGUGAAUUGCAACCCCCACCCAUCAGUCUGAGCCUGUAACUAGAAAAGGAAAGUCUGGAGUCAAAGAGGAUGGCUUUGGGUCUGUGCUGGGAGCAGAGAUUGGGCCCUUAUAGGGAACCAACAGAAACAGAUUGCUAUGAGGGAGAAUGUUCAGCUGAAUGACUGCUCUAUCAGUGGUGUGGUCACAAUGGUGGUAGACUGAUUCCCUGCAGCAGAGGAGAGAGAGUAUUCCUGGUGGAAAUCUUGUGGAGAGACGACAAAGUGUCCUGCCAACUGUAUUUACCUCCAGACCAGGCAAUAAACUGGCUGAUAACUUUUUUUUGUUACUAAGUGAGAACCUGGCUUACUCAGGUGGGUCCUCUGCUCGCAAAGAACCCUCCCUUUGGACUCCCGCCCCCUCAAAGGCCUCAUGUUGUGGUGACAGGCUGUGCACAGCUCCCCUGGAACCCAUCAAAACUGCACCACAGAGAAGGAAGUGCUUCCCCAGGACUGGACAUGCUGCCUCCUCAAUGCUAUCAGCCUAUGGCCCUGACCCUGACCUCCCAUAGUGCUCCAUUAUAGAGUGGGGACGGCCCAGCCCAUCAUCUCUAAAGGAAACUUCAGUUUAAUUAGCUUUUCUGCAUUCUCCCUGAAGCAGCUGAAUUUUGAGACAUUAUAGCAGUUUGAGUCACAAGUGAAAACAAACUCCAUAUCCUAUAGAGCCAUGAAUCCAAACUUACCCUGAACAGGUACAACACGAGCAGCAUGGCCCCACCCAUCUACUUCAGACUCAGCUGGGAAGGACUUUCAUGGGUCUCGAGGGUGCUUUCAUUUCCAUGACCAUUGAGUGCCAGUGGUGUCUUGCUAGAUUGCCUGCAAGAGCAAUUUUACUGCCAGUUCUGGUGGCAUCCUGCUUUCACACCAGAAGAACAUUAUGAUGCAAUAUGAGAACCAAAUUUCCAAAGGGGCCUCAACAAGGUAGCACUUUGUGAAGGGGACUUUGUGUAUGCAUAGGCAGCAAAAAAGCACACUGCAGAGAGUAUAUUCAUCCUGGUAAUCAGGUAUCUCAUUUUAACCCGACAGUUCUGGGAGUACAGUAAACUAUAGGAACCAGGGGCAGAAUUUAGACAGCUAACUGGCUGACUUUACAUGAACUAGCAAUAUUUGCAAGUCAGAGAAUGUAGCCAUCUCUGUAUUACCACCUAUGCCUACACUUCACUUGCCUACAAAACUGCAGAGGAAUCUAUUUUACGUUUUUGUCCUCUAUUGGCAUGGCGUCUGAACACUUCACAAUCGUUAAUAUAUUUUAUUUAUCACCACCCCUGUGAGGUAUGGAAGUGCCACUACCCCCAUUUUACAGAUGCAGAACUGUGACACAGAGAGGCUAGGUGACUUGCUUACAAUCACACUGUGAGGCUGUGGUAGAGCGGGGAACUGAAGCUGGAUGAUCUUCAAGUCCUAGGCUAGUGCCCUAAUCACUGGCCAUCCUUCCUCUCUAGGACGGGGUGCAGUUGUGCACAUACAAAAUUAAGGGCCUCUUGAAAAUCUCUGCAUAUUUUGUCUUAAAAUCCAAAGAAUCAUUUCAUUUCCACGGUUUAUUUAAGAUACUGCUUGAUUUCAUCAUAAUCAAACUUCUUAUGUUGUCUUCUGGAGAAUGUGGAAAGGGCCUGUUUAGGCAAGAUCCUCUAUGGCCCUUAUGCAGUUGUGCAAUAGAGGCAAGUGUAAGGAGCCCUCCCACCCCCACACACCCUGCUUGGCUUGUGGCUCUGUCCCUGCUCUCCUGGUGGUACAUGGUGCCCUGGAGGGAGUAAGAAGUGGUAUAGCCCCAGAUUCUCCCACGUACAGACCGCGAAGAACAUGCUGUACUAAUGAAUGAAAGGCUGUACCAGGGUGCGCGUUUCCGCUGCACACUGGGGGGUUCCACAAGGCCAUAAUAAGCCAUUUUGGAACAGCAGAAAAUACUC